CUCAGGGUCACACUGCAAGAGCCACCAAGCCUUGCUGGAGGGCUGGGCAUGGACUCCUGCCUCCCCUCCUGAGGGGGCUUCCAGCAAAAAUACUGUAGGCAGCUCAGCUGCAGAUCAGCUUGGAAGGGAUUUCUCUUGGCACAGCAUAGGGAAGAAAGGAUCAAGUACUGCAAAUAAGGUAUGAAUCAUUUAAUCCUGACACUUUGUACUGUGAUUCAUAUUGCAAGUGAAAGUAUGCCUUGGGGUAAAUAAAAUGCUGACUCUGCAGGAGGAAGUGUCA
rnacentral:lncRNA from 1 species